GACAGAGGGUGCAAACGUUGCUCGGAAUCACUGGGCGUAAAGGGCGUGUAGGCGGGAAGGAAAGUCAGAUGUGAAAUCCCCAGGCUCAACCUGGGAACUGCAUUUGAAACUCCCUUUCUUGAGUACCGGAGAGGAAAGUGGAAUUCCUGGUGUAGAGGUGAAAUUCGUAGAUAUCAGGAGGAACACCAGUGGCGAAGGCGGCGUUUCUGGACGGUAACUGACGCUGGAGAACGCGAAAGCGUGGGGAGCAAACAGG
rnacentral:rRNA from 1 species